rnacentral:lncRNA from 1 species
AGGUAUCACUUUUCCCCUUUUCAACCAAAGGCAAGAACUGGCUAGAAGCAAGGUCAGAGAGAAAUCAUUAAACACACCAGAAAUGUGGAAAGCAUCAGAAAUGAAAAGUCAGCCAGCUGUAAAGGCUCAAAGGAAUGUUAAACUAGUGAUGUUCAUGUAAUUACUGUUGCAUUGCUUGUAACAGUGGGUAAUUUUUUUCCUACCUACUGAGUGUAUUGCUUUGUCCCUCAGGUGAUCUUUUUAGUGCCUUGGAUUUUCCAUUCCUGUACUUCUACAGGUUUCAUAGCAGCUGCUGUGCCAGUGGACUGUUGGGAUUCUUUCUGAUGUUGCACACAGUGAAGCUAAAAAGCAGCGCAACCUCAGGGCAAUAUGCAGCCUGGAGUUUCCUUGCAAAGGUUAUCACUGCUAGCUUAUCACCGUUCUUCUUUGUCAUGACCGCCAAUGUUCUAACCAUUUCUUGCCUUGUGAUCGGUGGAGUUGGAGAAGCAUUGCUUGUUUACACUGAAAGGACAGGCACAUAAAGAGGAACCAGAUCUCACCAGUUGGAAAAGAACUGACUUGCAGCCUAGAGACACUAUCACGAAAAAAAAGCAGCAGCAGGAAUGAAGAAGUGCGACCAAACAUGAGGAAAGGGAUCUAUUUUUUUUUUUUUCAAUUAAGAAAAGAACGUGUGCUAUUACUGGUGCUGGUAAGGGAGCAGCAUAGUUGGCAAAGAUGGUAAGGAGCCUUUGCCUCAAAGCACAAGACCAACUAUAUCAGAUUGAUGUGGUAAAUAAAAAACUGCACUGUAUCA